rnacentral:rRNA from 1 species
CUGCGAUAAGCGCCGGUAAGGUGAUAUGAACCGUUAUAACCGGCGAUACCCGAAUGGGGAAACCCAGUGUGACUCGUCACACUAUCAUUAACUGAAUCCAUAGGUUAAUGAGGCGAACCGGGGGAACUGAAACAUCUAAGUACCCCGAGGAAAAGAAAUCAACCGAGAUUCCCCCAGUAGCGGCGAGCGAACGGGGAGGAGCCCAGAGCCUGAAUCAGCAUGUGUGUUAGUGGAAGCGUCUGGAAAGGCGCGCGAUACAGGGUGACAGCCCCGUACACAAAAGCGCAUGUGCUGUGAGCUCGAUGAGUAGGGCGGGACACGUGGUAUCCUGUCUGAAUAUGGGGGGACCAUCCUCCAAGGCUAAAUACUCCUGACUGACCGAUAGUGAACCAGUACCGUGAGGGAAAGGCGAAAAGAACCCCGGCGAGGGGAGUGAAAAAGAACCUGAAACCGUGUACGUACAAGCAGUGGGAGCACCCUUUGGGGUGUGACUGCGUACCUUUUGUAUAAUGGGUCAGCGACUUAUAUUCUGUAGCAAGGUUAACCGAAUAGGGGAGCCGGAGGGAAACCGAGUCUUAAC